AAAUAAGAAGCAAAAUUUUGCAUUUAGUUUCGACCUAAAAAUUUGAUUAUAUUAAUCCUUAUUUU
rnacentral:tRNA from 1 species